GCUUGGUACGCUAUGCCGAGUGGUUAAGGCGAUGGACUGCUAAUCCAUUGUGCUUUGCACGUGUGGGUUUGAAUCCCAUCCUUGUCGAGCU